AAACCGGGAGGCAGCAGUGGGGAAUAUUGGACAAUGGGCGCAAGCCUGAUUCAGCCAUGCCGCGUGAGUGAUGAAGGCCUUAGGGUUGUAAAGCUCUUUUACCCGGGAAGAUAAUGACGGUACCGGGAGAAUAAGCCCCGGCUAACUUCGUGCCAGCAGCCGCGGUAAU
rnacentral:rRNA from 1 species